AAUGAAGUGCCUGAUUAAAGGGUUAUUUUGAUAGAGUAAAUUAUGUGAGGAUUCGCCUUCAUUG
rnacentral:tRNA from 1 species